rnacentral:lncRNA from 1 species
UGCCAAAGUGUAUAGGCUGUUCUGAAAGUAUAAAAUUAAACAAAUAAAGGAAGGGAUGUAGAGUAUAAGCAAUUGAGUAUGCUCUGAUUUAUUGUGGUUAAUUUAUUUUCACUUGGGUGACCAUAACCAUCAUUCUUGUUGCUUUCUUUUCAUUUUUUUAUUAACCCAUAAAAGUCCUAUUGAUCUCUUGAGUAUGUUGUCUGCAC